rnacentral:rRNA from 1 species
GACGAACGCUGGCGGCGUGCUUAACACAUGCAAGUCGAACGGAGAGGCCUGCUUUCCCUUGUGGAUUGCGGGUACUCGAGUGGCGAACGGGUGAGUAACACGUGAGUGAUCUGCCCCCAACUUGGGUAUAAGCCUGGGAAACUGGGUCUAAUUCCCGAUAGGACUGCAGGGUGGUGCCUGUGGUGGAAAACGAUUUUCUAGUGGUUGGGGAUGAGCUCGCGGCCUAUCAGCUUGUUGGUGGGGUAAUGGCCUACCAAGGCGGCGACGGGUAGCCGGCCUGGGAGAGUGGACGGCCACAUUGGGACUGAGAUACGGCCCAGACGCCUACGGGAGGCAGCAGUGGGGAAUAUUGCACAAUGGGCGGAAGCCUGAUGCAGCGACGCCGCGUGGGGGAUGACGGCCUUCGGGUUGUAAACUCCUUUCGACCGCGAGGAAGCCACCUGGUUGGAAGGGUGGUGACGGUAGUGGUAGAAGAAGCACCGGCUAACUACGUG